CUAGCAUAUCAAUAAGCGGAGGAAAAGAAACCAACAGGGAUUGCCCUAGUAACGGCGAGUGAAGCGGCAAGAGCUCAAAUUUGAAAUCUGGCCUCCUUGGGGCCCGAGUUGUAAUUUGUAGAGGGUGCUUUGGCGUUGGCCGUGGCCUAAGUUCCUUGGAACAGGACGUCACAGAGGGUGAGAACCCCGUACGUGGCCGCCGGUCUUCGCCGUGUAAAGCCCCUUCGACGAGUCGAGUUGUUUGGGAAUGCAGCUCUAAAUGGGAGGUAAAUUUCUUCUAAAGCUAAAUACUGGCCAGAGACCGAUAGCGCACAAGUAGAGUGAUCGAAAGAUGAAAAGCACUUUGGAAAGAGAGUCAAAAAGCACGUGAAAUUGUUGAAAGGGAAGCGCUUGCAGCCAGACUUGCCCGCAGUUGUUCAUCUGGAUUUAAUCCGGUGCACUCUCCUGUGGGCAGGCCAGCAUCAGUCCGGGCGGUCGGAUAAAGGCCCUAGGAAUGUAUCUCUCUUCGGGGAGUGUUAUAGCCCAGGGUGCCAUGCGACCAGCCGGGACUGAGGUCCGCGCAUCUGCUAGGAUGCUGGCGUAAUGGCUGUAAGCGGCCCGUCUUGAAACACGGACCAAGGAGUCUAACAUCUAUGCGAGUGUUUGGGUGUCAAGCCCGGGCGCGUAAUGAAAGUGAACGGAGGUGGGAACCCCUCGGGGCGCACCAUCGACCGAUCCUGAUGUCUUCGGAUGGAUUUGAGUAAGAGCAUAGCUGUUGGGACCCGAAAGAUGGUGAACUAUGCCUGAAUAGGGUGAAGCCAGAGGAAACUCUGGUGGAGGCUCGCAGCGGUUCUGACGUGCAAAUCGAUCGUCAAAUUUGGGCAUAGGGGCGAAAGACUAAUCGAACUAUCUAGUAGCUGGUUCCUGCGA
rnacentral:rRNA from 1 species